GACGGAGGGUGCGAGCGUUGUCCGGAAUCAUUGGGCGUAAAGCGCUCGUAGGCGGCUUUGUAAGUUAGAGGUGAAAGCCCGGAGCUCAACUCCGGAACUGCCUUUAAGACUGCAUCGCUAGAAUCAUGGAGAGGUGAGUGGAAUUCCGAGUGUAGAGGUGAAAUUCGUAGAUAUUCGGAAGAACACCAGUGGCGAAGGCGACUCACUGGACAUGUAUUGACGCUGAGGUGCGAAAGCGUGGGGAGCAAACAGG
rnacentral:rRNA from 1 species